rnacentral:rRNA from 1 species
UAGGGAAUCUUCCGCAAUGGACGCAAGUCUGACGGAGCAACGCCGCGUGAGUGAAGAAGGAUUUCGGUUCGUAAAACUCUGUUGUUAGAGAAGAACAGCGCAUAGAGUAACUGUUAUGCGUGUGACGGUAUCUAACCAGAAAGCCACGGCUAACUACGUGCCAGCAGCCGCGGUAAUACGUAGGUGGCAAGCGUUGUCCGGAUUUAUUGGGCGUAAAGCGAGCGCAGGCGGUCAAUUAAGUCUGAUGUGAAAGCCCCCGGCUCAACCGGGGAGGGUCAUUGGAAACUGGUUGACAUGAGUGCAGAAGAGGAGAGUGGAAUUCCAUGUGUAGCGGUGAAAUGCGUAGAUAUAUGGAGGAACACCAGUGGCGAAGGCGACUCUCUGGUCUGUAACUGACGCUGAGGCUCGAAAGCGUGGGUAGCAAACAGG